rnacentral:rRNA from 1 species
CGGGUGAGUAACACGUAUGCAACCUGCCUGCCACAGCCGGAUAAUCGGGAGAAAUUCCGUCUAAUACGGCAUAAUGCAUCGACGGGACAUCCUGUUGGUGCCAAAGGUUGAUUCCGGUGGCGGAUGGGCAUGCGUCGCAUUUGUUAGUUGGCGGUGUAACGGACCACCAAGACGACGAUGCGUAGGGGUUCUGAGAGGAAGGUCCCCCACACUGGUACUGAGACACGGACCAGACUCCUACGGGAGGCAGCAG